UACGUAGGUGGCAAGCGUUGUCCGGAUUUACUGGGCGUAAAGAGCGCGCAGGCGGUCGUUCAAGUCGCGUGUGAAAGCCCCCGGCUCAACUGGGGAGGGUCACGCGAUACUGAUCGACUCGAAGGCAGGAGAGGGAAGUGGAAUUCCCGGUGUGAGUGGUGAAAUGCGUAGAUAUCGGGAGGAACACCAGUGGCGAAGGCGACUUCCUGGCCUGUUCUUGACGCUGAGGCGCGAAAGCUAGGGGAGCAAACGGG
rnacentral:rRNA from 1 species